rnacentral:rRNA from 1 species
AUACGGAGGGUGCAAGCGUUAUCCGGAAUCAUUGGGUUUAAAGGGUCCGCAGGCGGACUGAUAAGUCAGUGGUGAAAUCCAGUAGCUUAACUACUGAACUGCCAUUGAAACUGUCAGUCUUGAAUUCGGUCGAAGUGGGCGGAAUGUGUCAUGUAGCGGUGAAAUGCAUAGAUAUGACACAGAACACCGAUAGCGAAGGCAGCUCACUAGGCCUGAAUUGACGCUCAGGGACGAAAGCGUGGGGAGCGAACAGGAUUAGAUACCCUAGUAGUCC